rnacentral:rRNA from 1 species
UGUGGACGGGAUAAGUGCUGAAAGCAUCUAAGCAUGAAGCCCCCCUCAAGAUGAGAUUUCCCAACUUCGGUUAUAAGAUCCCUCAAAGAUGAUGAGGUUAAUAGGUUCGAGGUGGAAGCAUGGUGACAUGUGGAGCUGACGAAUACUAAUCGAUCGAAGACUUAAUCAAAA